GGCGGGAUAGCUCAGCUGGUUAGAGCGUCGGAAUCAUAAUCCGUAGGUCGUGGGUUCGAAUCCCUCUCCCGCUA
rnacentral:tRNA from 2 species